rnacentral:ncRNA from 1 species
AAAUGACUGAUGAUGAGAAAUAGUAUGUCUUAUGAGGGUGUCUUAGCGAGUCAGAGGUGGUGAGAGUCUGAUACAAGUCUCUUAGACAGAAUGGUUCUCAGAGGUGUGAUCCGAAAACCGUAAAAGUUAGUAGGUGAUUCCGGGGGUUUCCCGUUACAGAGACAAAGGUAUCGAGAAUUGUAUUCUCCGUACCUGAUAGAUUAAGGUAUUUGGUAGAUUGUUUGCUUAAGUCCAAUUGGUUGGUUGAUUGGAUUUGGAGGAAAAUAAUUGCCUUAUACGAAUUAAGGUGGUACCACGGAGCUUUCCGUCCUUUUA